rnacentral:lncRNA from 12 species
AGACCGUGAACUGAACCUAAAAAUUCUGUCCGCACACCUCUCACCGAGGCUGAGGAGGUGAUGGCAAGUUCUGGGAUGGCAAACUAGAUGCAAGAGCAUCUUUAUCCACUCAGCAGAAGUGUACUUCUCCUAGAAGAGGAGCACAGCCAGAGGAAGGGGAAUACACACAGACUGCACAGAGGAGCACCCAGCAGGAAUGAUCUGUCCAUCAGCCUUUCUUUCAAACUUGUUUUAAACUUUCCAGUCACUACUAAUGGGGCUAUUGAAGAAAUGGAGAAAGCAUCACAGACACUCACCCAGGAAGAGAGUACCAGUGGAGAAACUACCAGUCUGGAAUGGGGACUGGAAGGAGGAAAUAUACUUCUGUUACUCUUUUAGAAAUACAAAAGCAACACAUGAGACAAAAAAAAUGUAAUCAGUACCCUAUCAGAAAGCAUUAGAGCCCCAUAUCUGCCUUCUCCCCACUCCUGCAACUGCAAAUGAAUGCAUUUAAGCAAAGACAAAAUUGCAAAACACUUCUGAGCACUAUCCAGAAGUUGCACCCCUAGGAUUUCUUCCAGGCCCUUCAAGGAUAUACAUAUUAUGUUGUUCAAAUUCCUUGACCCAGUCCAUAUUUCAUCAAAUGAGUCACUUGUUAGCAACUGGAAUUCUUCAAAACAUUUACAUAUACAUGCUCCAUUUAUGAGCAAACUGGAGUUAGUAGGAUGCAAUUUCCACGUUUCUUGCAGUGACUGCCCUCAUCCAUGUCCAUGGAGUUAGUAGGAUGCAAUUUCCACGUUUCUUGCAGUGACUGCCCUCAUCUAUGUCCACAAAUGAUACUUUGAAAGAACUCCAGACUCAGCUAUCAGGAUCUUGGCGUCCUUCAUUGAGACAGUAACUGAAGGAUCAUCCUGCCAAGUCAUGUCCAUAGUGAGUAUCUCUUCAGAAACACAAAUCUGGAAAGGCAGAUUCAGUUCCAGAGCUGUAUUAAGUAAAUGCCGUGAUAGAAGACAUUUUUCAGUGAUGUCCCAGACAAAUCUUGAGCUCUAAUGCAGCAUUUUGUCAAGGUGCAAAGUGUUUUGGCUGUGUGAAAAUGGAUUUUCAUUUGGAUCUGCAGAUGUUAAUACAAACAGAAUUUCCCAAGUCUAGGAGCAAGCUCUGUAAACGCAAUAAGAAAAAGUUCUCUUAAAACCAAAGUUUCAAGGUGUGACUUCACUCUCACAGGAAUGAAAUUUAGCCUUGAAUAUUGUCUUUAGGUGGUAGCAGGCAAAGGAGAAGCAAAGACACAGGUUUGGUGCCAGAAUUACAGCUGAGAUCUCCAGACACCACCAAGAACCUGAAAGUCUAACCAUUUCUUUCUAUUUAUCAGAUGGGUUCCCUGACCCAGGUUACCCAUUUCAGAUUCCCACUUUGCCAAAGGAUGUUCCCCUGCACCUGAAGAAAAGCAGGAAUCCUGUACCAGUUUCUUAGCAUUGAACAUAACAGUAUUGUCACCAUAGAACAUGACAAACUGAGAAGCAGAUCCAAAAUGUUCUACAGGCUCUGAAAUUGCAUAUUCAUGUUGGGUUUUCAUUCCCCUUCAGAGCCAGUGUCAUCCUUCUGGCUGCUGAAAGAGAUCACAAAAACAGAAGGUCUGUGGGGGUCUGGCACAUCAAAUCAGGAUGGUGGGAGAUGCUGAAAAGGGCACUGAUGCUUACUGAUGCUGGCUUGAGCUAUUCAAAAAUCUGGAGAGCAGCAUUGUGAGAACUGAUGUGUUUGAUAGAGAUGAUGCCUCUCUGAAGAAUGGGUGGUUCUUAGCCAAAUUCAUCAAAGAAUCUGAAGGAAUAGUAACCCUGAAACAUCGUAAAAGUACACCUUAUCUUGAAACAUAGUGGAGAUAGAGCAGUGACUAAAUCACAAACCACCUUGUAGAAUUAGUUUAAGGAAACUUAAAUAUUCAAAAACCACGUGGAUAUGGCUCUUGGGGAUAAGGUUAAAUGUUGAACAUGACAGUGCUGGUUUAGCCACUGGACUUAAUGAAUUUAGAAGCCUUUUCCAACAUUAAAAAUUCUAUCACUGCGAUUCCAUCAUCCCCACUGAGACAGACAUACAGAACUGGAACACAAAUCCUUUAAGGCUGUAGUUCAAAGUCAAAACAGGAGCCACUCUAACACUCAGAGGCAGAAUAGUGAUUUUGUCAUUCAGGCUGUACACACAGAAUGCCGUACAAUUGGAAAGAGGUGCUUCCUAUGCCCUCCAAAGCUACUUUUCCUGGAUUCUUCACACAAUAAAACAUUGC